AGGGGCAGCAUAAUGGAUAGCAAUAUCUAUGGUGGCGACCGGCGCACGGGUGCGUAACGCGUAUGCAACCUACCUUUAACAGGGGGAUAAUCCGAAGAAAUUUGGUCUAAUACCCCAUAAUAUCAUUUAAGGCAUCUUAGAUGGUUGAAAAUUCCGAUGGUUAAAGAUGGGCAUGCGUUGUAUUAGCUAGUUGGUGGGGUAACGGCUCACCAAGGCGACGAUACAUAGGGGGACUGAGAGGUUAACCCCACACUGGUACUGAGACACGGACCAGACUCC
rnacentral:rRNA from 1 species